ACCACGACUAAGGGCUGUUCUUACACACAAUGCAACGAGGAGUGCCUGGAUACAGCCAUUUGCUGUGGUAUAUUGGCCAUAUACCACAAACCCAGAGGUGCCUUAUUGCUAUUAUAAACUGGUUACCAACGUAAUUAGAGCAGUAAAAAUACAUGUUUUGUCAUGCCUGUGUUAUACGGUCUGAUAUACCACCGCUGUCAGCCAAUCCGCAUUCAGGGCUCGAACCACCCAGGUUAUAGCUAUCCUUAUAUAGCCAUUCAUUUUUCAUGAAUUCAAUAUAUUGUCUUAUUCCAGACAGAGUUCAUUUUGCGUGCAGGGUUGCGAUUUUAUCAACAUUAUAUGUAAUUUCAGAUCAUAUCUGUCCUGCUCCCAAAAACAUUACCAAUACGAACUUAAUUUCUUUUUUAAAUUAAGAUAAAUGUUAUUGUAUUCUGAGAGGCUAAUAUGAUUGUAAUAACAAUGACAUUUCGAACUAUUCAGAAUGUUUUAAUUCAGAGAGAGUGUAUGAAUAUAUAUUACAAUGUCACACUAGUGGGCUACAGGUAAGGGCAUUGUGGGGAAAUUGGGUGAGAGAGGAGUGACCAGUGACCCGUUUUGAGCUGAAUGACCAGUGAAUGAUACAAUAAUGGGGAUGUCAAUGUCAAUUCCACGCCAAAUAGCAGCUAGAUAGGUUUAGUAUCUCACGCCAGAUAGCAGCUAGAUAGGUUUAGUAUCUCACGCCAGAUAGCAGCUAGAUAGGUUUAGUAUCCCACGCCUGAUAGCAGCUAGAUAGGUUUAGUAUCUCACGCCAGAUAGCAGCUAGAUAGGUUUAGUAUCUCACGCCUGAUAGCAGCUAGAUAGGUUUAAUAUCCCAUGCCUGAUAGCAGCUAGAUAGGUUUAGUAUCUCACGCCUGAUAGCAGCUAGAUAGGUUUAGUAUCUCACGCCUGAUAGCAGCUAGAUAGGUUUAAUAUCUCACGCCUGAUAGCAGCUAGAUAGGUUUAAUAUCCCACGCCUGAUAGCAGCUAGAUAGGUUUAGUAUCCCACGCCUGAUAGCAGCUAGAUAGGUUUAAUAUCCCACGCCUGAUAGCAGCUAGAUAGGUUUAAUAUCCCAUGCCAGAUAGCAGCUAAAUAGGUUUAAUAUCCCAUGCCAGAUAGCAGCUAGAUAGGUUUAAUAUCUCACGCCUGAUAGCAGCUAGAUAGGUUUAAUAUCCCACGCCUGAUAGCAGCUAGAUAGGUUUAAUAUCCCACGCCUGAUAGCAGCUAGAUAGGUUUAGUAUCCCAUGCUAGAUAGCAGCUAGAUAGGUUUAAUAUCCCAUGCCAGAUAGCAGCUAAAUAGGUUUAAUAUCCCAUGCCAGAUAGCAGCUAGAUAGGUUUAAUAUCUCACGCCUGAUAGCAGCUAGAUAGGUUUAGUAUCUCACGCCUGGUAUCUCACGCCUGAUAGCAGCUAGAUAGGUUUAAUAUCCCACGCCUGAUAGCAGCUAGAUAGGUUUAGUAUCUCACGCCUGAUAGCAGCUAGAUAGGUUUAAUAUCCCACGCCUGAUAGCAGCUAGAUAGGUUUAGUAUCUCACGCCUGAUAGCAGCUAGAUAGGUUUAAUAUCCCACGCCUGAUAGCAGCUAGAUAGGUUUAAUAUCCCACGCCUGAUAGCAGCUAGAUAGGUUUAAUAUCCCACGCCUGAUAGCAGCUAGAUAGGUUUAAUAUCCCACGCCUGAUAGCAGCUAGAUAGGUUUAAUAUCCCACGCCUGAUAGCAGCUAGAUAAGUUUAAUAUCCCACGCCUGAUAGCAGCUAGAUAGGUUUAAUAUCCCACGCCAGAUAGCAGCUAGAUAGGUUUAAUAUCCCACGCCUGAUAGCAGCUAGAUAGGUUUAAUAUCCCACGCCAGAUAGCAGCUAGAUAGGUUUAAUAUCCCACGCCUGAUAGCAGCUAGAUAGGUUUAGUAUCUCACGCCUGAUAGCAGCUAGAUAGGUUUAAUAUCCCACGCCUGAUAGCAGCUAGAUAGGUUUAAUAUCCCACGCCUGAUAGCAGCUAGAUAGGUUUAAUAUCCCACGCCUGAUAGCAGCUAGAUAGGUUUAAUAUCCCACGCCUGAUAGCAGCUAGAUAGGUUUAAUAUCCCACGCCUGAUAGCAGCUAGAUAAGUUUAAUAUCCCACGCCUGAUAGCAGCUAGAUAGGUUUAAUAUCCCAUGCCAGAUAGCAGCUAAAUAGGUUUAAUAUCCCAUGCCAGAUAGCAGCUAGAUAGGUUUAAUAUCCCACGCCUGAUAGCAGCUAGAUAGGUUUAAUAUCCCAUGCCAGAUAGCAGCUAGAUAGGUUUAAUAUCCCACGCCUGAUAGCAGCUAGAUAGGUUUAAUAUCCCAUGCCAGAUAGCAGCUAGAUAGGUUUAAUAUCCCAUGCCAGAUAGCAGCUAAAUAGGUUUAAUAUCCCACGCCUGAUAGCAGCUAAAUAGGUUUAAUAUCCCAUGCCAGAUAGCAGCUAAAUAGGUUUAAUAUCCCACGCCUGAUAGCAGCUAGAUAGGUUUAAUAUCCCAUGCCAGAUAGCAGCUAAAUAGGUUUAAUAUCCCACGCCUGAUAGCAGCUAGAUAGGUUUAAUAUCCCACGCCUGAUAGCAGCUAGAUAGGUUUAAUAUCCCAUGCCAGAUAGCAGCUAGAUAGGUUUAAUAUCCCAUGCCAGAUAGCAGCUAGAUAGGUUUAAUAUCCCACGCCUGAUAGCAGCUAAAUAGGUUUAAUAUCCCACGCCUGAUAGCAGCUAGAUAGGUUUAGUAUCCCACGCCUGAUAGCAGCUAGAUAGGUUUAAUAUCCCACGCCUGAUAGCAGCUAGAUAGGUUUAAUAUCCCACGCCUGAUAGCAGCUAGAUAGGUUUAAUAUCCCACGCCUGAUAGCAGCUAGAUAGGUUUAAUAUCCCACGCCUGAUAGCAGCUAGAUAGGUUUAAUAUCCCACGCCUGAUAGCAGCUAGAUAGGUUUAAUAUCCCACGCCUGAUAGCAGCUAGAUAGGUUUAAUAUCCCACGCCUGAUAGCAGCUAGAUAGGUUUAAUAUCCCACGCCUGAUAGCAGCUAGAUAGGUUUAAUAUCCCACGCCUGAUAGCAGCUAGAUAGGUUUAAUAUCCCACGCCUGAUAGCAGCUAGAUAGGUUUAGUAUCUCACGCAUGUUCGUUCAAUCUUCCAGUACGCCACGUUUAUUUGUCACCUCCCCCCUUCAUACAGAACACAACCUGCUUCGUCUGUUCAUUAGGUUUGGCCUAAUCCAGGUGCUACACAGGGUCCCCAAUCAAUUUAUUAAUAACUGCAAAAUAACAUUAUUUUGAAAAUAGAGUGUACUCAAUCUAGUGUCUCGACUCGCCCUUUUUUCGGUGAAAAUCAUAACCCUCUCUCGUUCUCUCCCACCACAGGUUUAUGAAGGUCAUAAAUACCUAAAACUCUUUAACCCACUCGGCAAAAAUGGAGGUUAGGAAUCCCUUUGUUACCACAGAAAAAGACUGUGCAAUAUGGUAAACUCAAAAGAUUGAAUAAUGUAACAAUAUUUCUGUAUUCCAACCAGUUGAAAUUGUCCGUGGGUACUCAAAGAAGUAUCAUGUUGAAUUCCUUACUAAUUUGUAAUGUAACAAUGUUAUGGGAUUUUUAUGAAUAAUGACUAAAUUAUGUAUACAUUUAACUUAGAACUAUGACUAAACAGAAUACUACUAUGUUACUGUAUGAAUCUUUAUAUAAUCAUAAUACUGAAUAUAAUGUGUGUAGUUUUAGUCAAGAAUUAGAACAAGGACUUUCUGUUCCUUGUUAGAAACUAAGGGAGCUAUCAUCAGACCGGGUGGAAUACUGUGUUCCUUACAGGACAUUAUGUCCCUACCCAGGGAGGGGAGAGACCUUCGGCUUGUUGUAGAUUGUUUAACAGGUGGCAGACAAUGUGAGAAGGCUUGUGAACUAUAUUGCCAUUGUAGAGGAGAAGGAGGGACAUUUAUGACAAAAUGUGAGGUACCAAUGUACAUGGUAUUAUGACCAGAGCUCUCGGGAAUAAAUGCUAUUGAUUAAUAUUGAGACUGAUCUUUGUCUAUUUUAGCCUUCUAAAUGAGAGUAUGGUUUUUCAUGUAAAGUUUCAACUAGUCAGUGACCACAGAGCACAUUUACAAAAUGUACAUUUAGUCAAGAUAACGCCAGGACAGGGUCCCCACGUUGAAAUGGCUAAAACGCUAGACCAAAACACGCAGGGUGAUGCUAGCGUGUGAAGUGGUUCAAACUACAACUCUACCAAAGGACAAGUCAGUCCAGAGAAUGUGGAGAUCAUCACCACACUGAAAUGGUGAAGAAAUCUAAAAACUACAGACCAAUUAUUCAGGCUGCAUCUUUUUAAGUACUUUAGUCUAGUAAACGCAAACAGUCGAAUGACCGAAUAGUACUCUGACAUAUCUAUUAUAACAAGCUACAACUCCCAAAGACUUUGAUCUAUGGUGGACAAACCAGAGACUUUCUGUCGAAAAUCUAUCCGGCAGACAGGCGAUCGCAGAGAGGGACAACAAGCUGGCCCCCUUGAGCUGGCCCCACCUCUUUCCUUUGUCUACCAAGCCGUCAUAUCGACUUAGCCCACGAGGGACUUUUGUGUAUCAUGUCAGUAACCAAUGUAUAACUGUUGUGAAUAAAUAAGCCAAUUUGUAUAUCGCUGAUUCAUGAUUUAUGUUAGGAUUCGUGCAGAUAUCCAAAGGCUUGCAACGUUUAGGAAUGAGACUG